CUGCCGGUGAUAAACCGGAGGAAGGUGGGGAUGACGUCAAGUCAUCAUGGCCCUUACGAGUAGGGCUACACACGUGCUACAAUGGCGUAUACAAAGGGAAGCGACCCCGCGAGGGCAAGCGGAACUCAUAAAGUACGUCGUAGUCCGGAUUGGAGUCUGCAACUCGACUCCAUGAAGUCGGAAUCGCUAGUAAUCGUAGAUCAGAAUGCUACGGUGAAUACGUUCCCGGGCCUUGUACACACCGCCCGUCACACCAUGGGAGUGGGUUGCAAAAGAAGUAGGUAGCUUAACCUCCGGGAGGGCGCUUACCACUUUGUGAUUCAUGACUGGGGUGAAGUCGUAACA
rnacentral:rRNA from 2 species